rnacentral:rRNA from 1 species
UACCUUUUAUUGGGGGAUAGCCCGAAGAAAUUCGGAUUAAUACCGCAUAAUACUGUUUGAGGGCAUCCGAAGACAGUUAAAGCUGAGGCGAUAAAAGAUGGGCAUGCGUGUCAUUAGCUAGUUGGUGUCAGGUAACGGCUCACCAAGGCGACGAUGACUAGGGGUUCUGAGAGGAUGAUCCCCCACACUGGUACUGAGAUACGGACCAGACUCCUACGGGAGGCAGCAGUAGGGAAUAUUGGGCAAUGGACGAGAGUCUGACCCAGCCAUGCCGCGUGCCGGAUGAAGGCCUUCUGGGUUGUAAACGGCUUUUACCAGGGAAGAAAAUACCUUUGCGAAGGGAACUGACGGUACCUGGUGAAUAAGCACCGGCUAACUCCGUGCCAGCAGCCGCGGUAAUACGGAGGGUGCAAGCGUUGUCCGGAUUUAUUGGGUUUAAAGGGUGCGUAGGCGGCUUGAUAAGUCCGUGGUGAAAGCCAACAGCUCAACUGUUGAACUGCCAUGGAUACUGUUAGGCUUGAGUACAGACGAGGUAGGCGGAAUGGAUCGUGUAGCGGUGAAAUGCAUAGAUACGAUCCAGAACUCCGAUUGC